AACGAACGCUGGCGGCAGGCCUAACACAUGCAAGUCGAGCGCGCCCUUCGGGGUGAGCGGCGGACGGGUGAGUAACGCGUGGGAACGUGCCCUUUUCUACGGAAUAGCCUCGGGAAACUGAGAGUAAUACCGUAUACGCUCUUUGGGGGAAAGAUUUAUCGGAAAAGGAUCGGCCCGCGUUGGAUUAGGUAGUUGGUGGGGUAAUGGCCUACCAAGCCGACGAUCCAUAGCUGGUUUGAGAGGAUGAUCAGCCACACUGGGACUGAGACACGGCCCAGACUCCUACGGGAGGCAGCAGUGGGGAAUCUUAGACAAUGGGGGCAACCCUGAUCUAGCCAUGCCGCGUGAGUGAUGAAGGCCUUAGGGUUGUAAAGCUCUUUCAGCUGGGAAGAUAAUGACGGUACCAGCAGAAGAAGCCCCGGCUAACUCCGUG
rnacentral:rRNA from 1 species